rfam:Ictidomys tridecemlineatus contig037391, whole genome shotgun sequence.
GGGGAUAUGGCUCAGUGAUAAAGUACUUGUUUGGCAUACACAAGGCACUGGGUUCAAUCCCCAGUAUUACAA